AUAUAAUUACACAUAUAUUAUAUAAUUAUUGCUAUGGUUUGACUGUGUGCUCCAGAAUUUACAUGUUGAAAACCUAAUCCCUAAUGCAACAGUGUUGAAAGUGGGGCCUUUGGCUAGGUGUGUGUAGGUGGAGCUCUCAUGAAUGGAUUAAUGCUGCUACAAAAACAAAACAAAACAAACAAACAAAAACCUUAGGGGGUAGGUUCACUCUCUUCUGCUCUUCUGCCAUGUGAGGACACAGAGUUUGUCCCUUUUUACCCUUCCGCCUUCUGUUACAUGAGUAUACAGCAAGGAGACUUCACCAAAUGCCAGUAUCUUCAUCUUGAAGUUUCCAGCCUGAGAGAAGUAAAUUUCUGUUCCUUAUAAAUUAUCCAGUUUCACAUAUUCUGUUAUAGCAACACAAAAGGCUAAGGCAAUUACAUGAUUAUAUUAUUAUAGUAAAUAUAACUAUUAAUUCUCAGAAUAAACACCUAUGGCCCUGAAUAAGCUAGGUGAAUAAACAAUAGACAAGCCUCCAGCAUAAACAGAGAAGGAUAAAUUCACAGUGAGAACUCUGUGUAAGGACAAGUAAGGUGAAGUCAACACUGACUGUUUAUGUUUUGAGAGGUUUUACUGGAAGUGCGUGUGCAGCAAAACACAACAUUCAAGCAAAUGAAAAUAAUCAUGAAAUUAUCUUGCCAAGAAUGAAAUCUUAGAGGAGGGGACUUCCAAGGUUUUCUUUCUUUCCCAAUUUUAGUUGUUUUUUUUUUUAAAGGUGUAAGAUCUGGGACUACAUUCUAUUUUCUGUAAAUUGUGCAGAGCAAGUGUGUGGUGACCGUUUUUUCCCCCUCGGAUUUUAAUCUACUGGAUAUGCCCAUAGAGUUUGCAGGAAUAACGGCUGGUUCUGGAAGCUGUUGGAGAUGUGAGAUAAAGAAAGAGAAUAAAUAUAAAACAUCAAUACUACUAUUUUGAAACACUGAUUUACUUUUCGGAAAGAGAAGAAAGGGCAAAGGGAUGGGAACUAAUAUAGAUAUACCAAAUUAUGUGCAACACACACCAUCCUUACAGAGUGCUGCAACCAAAAGCCAGAGAGUGUCUUGCCUUUCACAAUGCCAAAUCAAAAAGGUGAAUGCAUAGCCCACUCAGAGAAAUAAAGCUUAUGAAGACAGUCUUCGCUACAGGAGCCUGCUCAUCAUCCAAUAUCGUCCUCUUGGCUGUGCACCUUUUGAUGUAACACUGAAAUGAGAAUCAACCAACCUAAAUAUCUGUAACAAUAUCUGGGAAGAUGUAUAAUUCAGAAUUGCAUGAAGACAACAAAAGAUUAGUUGACACUUAGGACUGGCAAUUUUGUGUGUGCUCCUGUAACCCCAGCCACAUGUAACUCCAUGCCUGGAGAGUGUUCUGGAAUCUGGGCAUAUCUUCUCUACAGUAUUCGACUUGUCUCUUGAAUGCCAUACAUGGCAAUUUUGUAUGCUGAAUUGUGUCCCCUCUCUCCAAAUUCAUAAGUUGACGUCGGAACCCUCAUUACUUCAGAAUAUAACUGCAUUUUGGAGAUAAGGUUUAUAAAGAGGUAAUUAAGUUAAAAUGAGGUCCUAACCCAAUCUGACUAGCAUCCUUCAGAGAAGAGGAAGAAAUGCCAGGGCUGUGAGUGCACAAAGGGUCAACUAUGUGAAGAGGCAUCAAGAGGGCAGCCAUCUGCAAAGUCAGAGAGAUAAACCUUAGGAGAAACCAACUUGCCAGUGCCUUGAUUUUGGACUCGCUUCUUCAGAAAUGUGAGAAAAUAAAUUUUGUUGAUUAAGCCACCUAGUCUGUAGUACUUUGUUAUGGCAACCGUAGCAAACUAUUCCAACAGCAAAGAACGUUAGUCCUGGGUAUUUCAAGUGCACCAAAUGGCUAACUCUGCAAUCAAGAUAAAGCGUCACAAGGAGUCUGGAGUUCUCACCUCCCUCAUCCAAAAACCCUCAACCUUGGUUCCCAGUCACCCUCCACCAACACCCUCCUUCUUAUUUUGUUUGGCUUUGCCUCAUGUCUUGUCAGUCAUCCUCUAUACCAUGGAUUUUGGUAAUGAUAGGGGCCCAGUAGCUUUAGAUUCUGAGCAUUGAAAAGAAAUAUGUUCUACAUGGGCUGGUCUUCAGGCACACUGUCUAAAGGGUAAUCAAACAUUUCCCAUGAAAUGUAACCACCCUCUUGCCAUCAGAUCUUGUAUGUAUUGUUGUACAGAAUAUGUUUUAUCAGUUCUUCAAUGUGAUUUGCCAUAAAACAACCCCUUCUUUUUAUUUGAACUUUGAUAUACAACAUACUCCAAGAGGAGGUUAAGUUUCUUGAACUGGUUGUGAGGAGGGUUAGGAAAUUUAUCCUACCAUACUCACAGUACUAUAGAGGCAAAUGUGGCAUAAAAUUAUAUCCUUGCAACUGCUUCUACCAGGUUUAUGAAAUUACUCUACAGUUUCCAGUUUCUUCUUACUAAGGUGCUAGUGAUAACCAGUAAUGAAGGUAAGCCUCUGCUUAGUCCUGCCUAAAUUCUUUCUCAUCUGAUUUCUGUUUUCCUAUGUUGUUCUUUUCCCUUUGAGGAAUGAAAAUUUCUGUGCCUGGAUUCUUACUUCUUAAUCUCUGUUUAUACAGUUCUCCAAAAUGUAUGCAAUAACAUUUAGCAAUAAAUGUCUAUAAGCUCUUUUCAUCUUGCAAAAACUUGACUGCCUACAAAUUUAUCACCCUGGAAAUGACAUCUGCCUGUUCUAUCAAGUUGGAAAUGCUGUUCACCAACCUAAGCACUUGUGCCUUUUUCUCCAACCUGCUGGGAAGUUGGAGGAGCAUGGAUCUCUUGUGGGAAGAGCCAUUCCCAAAUGGUGCCUGAGCUAAAAGCAGAUCUCAUGGUGGCAGGGGUGAUAUCUAAAAUAUUUAAUAACUAGUAAGGUACAAGCACAAAAACCAAUCAAAACUGAUACAUAUUAUGUGGGAAUAUGAAGCAUUUUCAAAUUAAUCAUGAGAUAGAUUUAAAGAAAUAUUAAAAUUUACCAAAUAACUUACUGUGAGUCCCUGGCUUUGUUACAGCUAUAUCAUCAUGGUACUUAUUAGCCACUGGAGAGGCCAGAAUUAUAUCAGAGAUACAACCAGCCUGCCACUCAUUGGCCUUUACCCUCUGUGAUGUUCCUGACACUGCCAGCAAAACCUCUCUAUCACAGACUUACAGCUUCCUCCAGCUGCAAGAAACCCUGGUCUUGUUCUUAUCUACUAAGCAAAUGAAUAUUAUAAUCGACAAAUAAAUGAGCUUGAUUGGGUCCUCAUCCACUUAUUCACUCAUGUCACAAAAAUUAAGUGAAUUACAAAUAUGGACCAAGCACUGAAUUCAUUUUUAAAAAUUUAAUGAAUAAAUAAAAUGAUAUGAGUAGAUGCAUAAAUGAACAAAUGACUAAAACUACGGUGAUUACUAAUUCUCUUUUGUAGAAUAAGCAUGGAUUAUUCUCCAAAUAGAGGCUCUUAACACAGAAGACAAGGUAGGGAGGAAACUUCUACCAGUUUUAAAGAGACCAAGAGGGCAGAGAAGGGACAUUUAGUUCUGAGAUAUCAAUGAUAGGACUGUGUUACAGAUUCAGAAGCUGUCAUUACUUGAGAGCAGAAGGAAGAAACAAAACAAAACGUUAUUAACAAUGAUGGCAACAUGUAAGUCUAGUUGGUUCUACCAUAAAUAUUUGUAUAGACUCUGCUAUUUUCAAACUAAUACUGAUUAAUUCUAUCAGUUUAGCUUACCUCAACCCUGAAGAGGUUUAUAUUGCAAUCAUUCCACUCUACCUAUUAAAAAUUGAUUAUUUUGCAACUUGUAUUAUUUCUUUUAAGUUGCAGAUUAUUUGCUUAUUUCAGUGAAUUUUGUUGUAUUUGGGCCUAUGCCUGGGGCCACAGCUCCUUAAACUAACACAAAAGAAAAGGUUGAGUCAUAAGCCCACCAAGAUCCAUUUCCUUAUUGUCAGGCCUCUGAGCCCAAGCUAAGCCAUCAUAUCCCCUGUGACUUGCAUGUAUA
rnacentral:lncRNA from 1 species